rnacentral:lncRNA from 1 species
UGUUUGACCUGUGACCAGGUUUUUCCUAUUUGCACUGCAUUUUUCUGGAGACUGGCAAGUGCCCUAGUAGUAACUUUGCCUGUCCAUACCCAAUGUUUUCCAACACAGAAUAGUUUACCCUCAAAAACAGAAGUUCCUCAUAGAUGGUGGUGAUCACUCUAGUGGCCAUCCCAUAUUCACCAUUUAAAAAAUAAUUUUGCUCUAGAAAGAUGUUCAGAAACAAGCAAGGAAAAAAAUGUAAGAGCCAAAUUAUUUCUAGAUGCACAUAAGCAAACCAAAAUGAUACCCCAAAAAAGAGUACUCACAAAAAUUUUAAACCAGGCAUGUAGAGCAAACAAAAUAUUAAACCAGGUGCAUAGAAAAAAAAGCAAAUGUGAAUUUAUCAGAGAACACAGGAGGUCAUCAUAGACAGAACAAAAACUCUGCAAAAACCAGAGUAUUAUCCAGAAGAUCAGUGUCCUUAUACCAGAAAGGGCUUGCCAGAAAAGACAAAAAGUCUUUUGUGGUCCAAGAGGGAUGCAGUGUCCUUUGUUAAGGCAGCUUUUAUCCCAACCAGAUCCCGAAUAAAGUCAAAAGAACUCACCAUAAGGAGGGAGUUCAGCCUGAGAGAAGACUACUCACCAGAAGAGCUUGAUUAACAAUUUUACGGCAUUUUACCCCUUAAAAAACUCUUCCAUAUACGCAAUCACCUUUGAACUCCACAACACAUGGAUAUCCAGCUAUUUUGCCCCCUUCCACCAGCACCAAUAUCUUUUGCUUACUAAAGGAGGUACUCACAACGAAGAUCACACAUGACUCUUUAUUUUCUAUUAUGAAGCAACAGCCUGAAAAAACAGCCACUUAUUAAAUACUGAGGAUACAUUGCCUCUGAUUUCUACUACUCUUCCUUCCUGGCUCCUGACUAACCAGCCAAGACAGUUACAGCUUAGGAAUUGCCUCAAGCUAUUCUCCAGCUAUAUCAAGUUUAUGCGCAGGUGUGUUGCUCAGAACUCUAUAUACUGGGAUUUUUUUCUUCAACAUGUUCUUGCAGGGCCACCUCUAAGUAAUGCUUUGGGCAGCAACAGAUACUUUUUCUCCUGUAGCAUAGUAUUGAGCCAAGCUAUCUCUAAACCAGACCAGACCUUUCUUUCUUCUCCUUUUUCAAUUAUCUGGUCAUACAUAAGACAUCACAGACCAUAAUAUAAUCUGAUUUUGG